GACUCCGUGGCGCAAAGGUAGCGCGUCUGAGUCCAGAUCAGAAGGUUGCGUGUUCAAAUCACGUCGGGGUCA
rnacentral:tRNA from 1 species